rnacentral:lncRNA from 10 species
AUCACCCCACUCUGACCUUUUUGAAGAUAGGCAUGCAACUUGUUUUGGCCAAUGAAAUGUGAUGGGAAGUGAUAAUGUGCCCUCCAGAGAGAAGCUGUAAGAGCCAGUGCACAGCUUUACUACCUGCCACGGAGAUCAUAGACACCUAUGCUGAUAUGAAACCUUCAUCAAACGCUGGGUCUCUAAAUGACUGCAAUGGACAGAGACCCCUGCCCCAUCACCAAUAAUCUUGCCAACCAACUGGACGUUUAGAAUCAGGAAAAAGAAAAUCAAGUUUUUAUUAGGCGUUGGGACCACAGUACAGCCUGUUCUCCUUCAGCACUUGGAUCCUAAGGGAUGCACUUCCCUUGCAAAGGAGGAAAGAAAUCACUUCUGGGAGCCACUCCCAUCACCAGCUCAUCUGCCUCCCACACCCUGCAAGGAGCUCUUUAGUCAUUUGUCCAUAGUAAUCCUCUGUGGAAGACAACUGUGCCCCCCGGCCCGCCACCCCAGGGGAUCUGGCAAUAUGUGCAGACAUUUUUGGCUAUCACAAGUAAGAGGUGAGUGCUACUGAUGGUGAUCUACAGAUCACAGCGAAGAACACUGCUAAACAUCUUACGCUGCACUGGGUGAGCCCUCCCCACUGCCCAACAAAGAAUUAUCCGAUGUCAAUUAUCAGCAGUGACCAAGGUUAUGAAACCCAGAA